UACAGAGGGGGCAAGCGUUGUUCGGAAUUACUGGGCGUAAAGGGCGCGUAGGCGGCCAACUAAGUCGGACGUGAAAUCCCCGGGCUCAACCCGGGAACUGCGUCCGAUACUGGAUGGCUUGAAUCCGGGAGAGGGAUGUGGAAUUCCUGGUGUAGCGGUGAAAUGCGUAGAUAUCAGGAGGAACACCCGUGGUGUAGACGGCCUGCUGGACGGUCACUGACGCUGAGGCACGAAAGCGUGGGGAGCAAACAGG
rnacentral:rRNA from 1 species